rnacentral:rRNA from 1 species
GAGGAAUAUUGGACAAUGGGUGGAAGCCUGAUCCAGCCAUCCCGCGUGUAGGAUGACGGCCUUAUGGGUUGUAAACUACUUUUAUCUGGGGAUAAACCUACUUACGUGUAAGUAGCUGAAGGUACCAGAAGAAUAAGCACCGGCUAACUCCGUGCCAGCAGCCGCGGUAAUACGGAGGGUGCAAGCGUUAUCCGGAUUUAUUGGGUUUAAAGGGUCCGUAGGCGGAUUAAUCAGUCAGUGGUGAAAUCUCAUAGCUUAACUAUGAAACUGCCAUUGAUACUGUUAGUCUUGAGUGAGUUUGAAGUGGCUGGAAUGUGUAGUGUAGCGGUGAAAUGCUUAGAUAUUACGCAGAACACCAAUUGCGAAGGCAGGUCACUAAGUCUCAACUGACGCUGAUGGACGAAAGCGUGGGGAGCGAAC